GACGAACGCUGGCGGCGCGCUUAACACAUGCAAGUCGAGCGAGAACCAGGGCUUCGGUCCUGGGGACAGCGGCGAACGGGUGAGUAACACGUGGAUAACCUGCCCUCGGCACCGGGAUAGCCCGGGGAAACCCGGAUUAAUACCGGAUGGCCCUUCCGGCUCACGAGCCGGUCGGAAAAGGUAGCUUCGGCCUCCGGCCGAGGAUGGGUCCGCGGCGGAUUAGCUUGUUGGUGGGGUAACGGCCUACCAAGGCUCCGAUCCGUAGCUGGUCUGGGAGGACGAUCAGCCACACUGGGGCGGAGACACGGCCCAGACUCCUACGGGGGGCAGCAGUGGGGAAUCUUGCGCAAUGGGCGAAAGCCUGACGCAGCGACGCCGCGUGAGGGAGGAAGGCCUUCGGGUUGUAAACCUCUUUCAGGAGGGACGAAGCUACUCGGGUGAAUAGCCCAGAGGGUGACGGUACCUCCAGAAGAAGCCCCGGCUAACUACGUGCCAGCCGCCGCAGUAAGAC
rnacentral:rRNA from 1 species